CGAAAUACCGUGAAGUACGCGAAUGGAGAAUACUGGUAGUUCAUCGGUUCGAGGCACUCUUGCAACGAAUUAUUUUUUCAUCAAGCAAAAUCAAUUUCUUUGAGUUGGACAUUUUUUCAUGAGUUUGCUAUUCGACAGCAAUGUCGAAUUGCAUAAAAUAAUGAAUGAGUCGUGCCAAGUUCACAUGAGGUAGUGACAUAACCUGGAACAUUGCGAAUUACGCAGAUGACAAAAUUUUGAUACAAUGUCUGAAAAUGAUGCAACCCAAAGCGGGUCCAAUGGGAAACUGUCUGCGCUAUCUCCGUUGUUAUCGAAGGUACCUAAAGGCAAUUCCAAAAUAUUCAUCCUCACUCCCGAAAUCUUGCAAUCUCUCGGGAUAACAAGCCAUGCCGGAAUCAAACGAACUGCUUCUGCACCAGCGAAGAAAGAAGAUAUCGAUAAUUCAAAGACAAUAAAAUUACCUGAAGUGAAAGAUAAAGGAUCACGAAAAGAAACAGACCGCACAAAGCAAGAAACAAGUUCAAGCAGCUGUCAGUACAAAGAAGAAUCGAUCUCUAGUACCCCAAAAAUGAAGAAAGCAAGGCAAAAGAGGGCUGCUGAGACUCUUGAAAAACCACAGAUGGAUGAAAGGAGCAACAACAGGAGCAAGGAGGAUAUUAAAACAAAAUUGGAAAAUACUGCCAGUAGCUCAAGGACUACUAGACGCGUAGUCAAACCAAAGAAAUUCGAUGACUAUGUUGUGACGGAUGAUUAUCUUGCUACAACUUUACCUAAGGAUAAUUUUGUCUUCACACCACCAGCCCCUAAACGAGAACCUCGUAGAUCCUUGCCCAAUCUGAAAAAAGACAAAGCUCUAACUCAAACGUCUAAUACAGCAAACGAAAUGAAAGAAAAAGAAACGUUGGGUAAAAUAAAUCCUGUGAAACAAAAUGAAUCAAACAAAACAGUUGAGAAGAUUAAUGAGCGACAAGCGAGCUUUGGCAAACCCAGAAGUAAAUCCGCUAGUGAGAGUUCCCUUGUACUAUCCAAAACUUUAAGUUCAACUGAGACUAAAAUAAUCAGGACGUACAAGAGACGAAAUUCGCAAGAGCAAAAACAAAAUAAUGACAAGAGGGUAGAAAGUGAAAUUCCUAAAUGUACAAAAGCGCAAGAAAGCGCAGCAAACUUUAUUCGUAAAAUUCACACAUAUGCCAGUCCCAAAAUGAAGAAACAAAUUGAACAAGAAAACCAGAAGGGAAUCUCAAAAAUUCAGGAAACAAACGAAUCGGUGAUUCUGAAUAAAAUAGCAGAUCCGGAAUCGUGUCAAAAUCAAAGUGUCUUUGACAGCGAGAAUAAAAAACAUGACUCAAGCCAAAAGGUAGAGGAAAUAAAAACCUUAAAAAAAAAUGUUCCAUUGAAAAAUAAUCUAGAAUCUCCUGACAAAGUCGUAUUUAUCGAAGGAGAACAAUCAGGAAAAGGAGACAUGAUCUCCGAAGAGAAAAUGAAUGGUACCAAAGUCUGCUGCUCCUUGGAAAGUUCGGUUGUUCCUUUGUUUGAGUCAAUUGACUCACAGUCACCCGCUAUUGACACAAAUACAACGAAUGAAGCUUCUAUCGCAAAAUCAAAUCUUCCGAAAAUCCCUCGCGGAACAAAAGACAAAUGUACAAAGCCACGGGGAAUUAAAUCUUGGAAUAACGACAAAUCAAAACAUCUGGAGAAGAUUCUUUCUCCAGAAUUACCGGAGAAUAAAAAAAUCUGUCAAAGUCCCAAAAAACUUUCAGCAGAUUUUUCUAGCAAUGCGGAACAGACUCGGAUUAAGAAAGACAAAAUUAUGACCGUAGAGCCUCAGGAGAAUUCUAGUUCAAACUCGGACCUCUGCGAAGCUCAAGAGAAUAAAGAAGAAAUGAAGAAGCCGCAUAAAAUGAAAUGUUCACCUCCGUUGAAAGUGAAACCUCUUAAAAGAAUAAAAUCUCUGCCAAAAAGGAAGGAAAUAAUUUCGAAAUCUAAUAUUGAAAAAUAUUUAGAUAAACAUGAAGCGAGUGGUUCUAAAUUAGAUGAAUCAAAAUCACGUUCCAAGGAUGAAACAAAAAAUACAAAGCGCCGUUCAUUGAAGUCUCGGCCUGAGGAUCACGUUACAAUUUCUGAGCCUAAGACAGGAUUACUAACAGAUAAAAAAAAAAUUAUAGAUUUUAAUCUCGUUCCGGACACCUCGGGCACAGAUAAAAUGAUUUAUUCGGGCAAAACACCAGAUGUUUCCAAUACUGCGGAGGUUAUGUCCGAGGCUCACAAACUUGCAGAAACAAAUGACAAUAAAAAUAUCAGAAAGAAUGCGUCAAAAUUUCCGCAAGGGGCUAAAGUUCUCGAUCAGAAUAAACGAAUUUCUUCGAGCUCCACUGUACCGAAACGAACGAAUGAAAAGAGAAAAAAUAAUUCAAAGAAUCACGAAAGCCCGAAGGAAAAAGACAAAAUCCGUAAACUGUAUUCCACGCCCAUUUCUGCUAAAGAAAAUGAAGCAAUCAGUUUGGAAGGAACAUCCAAAGAUCCACACCACAUUGAAAUAUCUGCUGAUAAGGUUACGAUUCAACCGGAGCUGGAUACGCCAAUUUGCCCGGACAAAGAUGAGGUGGUAGCUUCGAAGUCCGAUUCGACCUUCUCUAACGAAAAGGCAAUAAUUUUAACGAAUUCUCAUGAAUCGGAAUUUUCGGAUGUAGAAUAUCAACAAAGAUUAUCCGAACAUGCAACGAACACAGGAAAAGACUCCACACCGCUUCCUGAAAUCGUCUCCGGUAUCGAAAAUCCAUCGAGUAAUACUGCAGACUGUAACAUCGAAGAAAUCGGUUCUACUGGUUUUUUGGAAUUAGCAAAUGAGAGUUCGCGAACCGACCUGAAUCCCGAAGCAAAUGAAUCGCCGGACGGACCGAAAGUUUCACGAAAAAGAGGAAGACCAAGGAAGUCAGAAACUCCAAAACAAGUUCCAGUGGAAACAAGCAUCGAAGUGGAAAAAGUGAAUAUCCAGGACACCAAGGAAAUAGUAGCUGGAGCUGCUGAGGAAAAUAUCGGUCGCGUUAAGAAACCUGUACAACGAGACAUCAACGAAAUCGAUGGAAAAGGUUUAAGCGAUGGAAGCGACGAUGAGUCCACGACGGAGGAAACUAUUUCAAGACGUCGCCGAGGACGACCUACUGGUUCAAUACCGUACAGCAGGACCAGAGGACGUGGAAGAGGCCGUGGUCGAGGUCGGGGUCGAGGUCGUGGACCCACAGAUUCUGAAUAUAUUCCUAGAGAACGACCGUCUCGGGAUCAAAAAGCUGUUGACAAAAGUACCAAGGAGCUUGAUGUAGUCGACGAUUCGCAAAAAUCUCAAAUGAUUCCUCCGUCUGUAGAAGUCGAAUGUGGCAAGUGUAAAGAAAAAAUGCCAAAAAAGUCUUGGCCCCUACACAACUUGAUGACUCACAAUGACAUGGGUUGGCUGAGUGGUCAACCAGAACCGGACUUUACGGAUGAGAAAUUUCUCCGUUCCGUCUUGGCAGCAGUGGUGCGAAAGAAGAAAGGCAAAGGGUUUUUCACGUGCGAGUUGUGCGGCGAUAUGAAACGUAGUGCCAUCGGUUUCAUUUCGCAUUUACAGUUUUGCGGAAAAACGGAAGAUGAAAAAACGGCACUUAUGGUGAAAUGCCCAACAUGCGGGAACGUAAUGAUGUCAUCUUCGUGGCCGAUGCACGAACGAUAUCACCGACAACUGAUGAAAGCCAAAGAUGAGUUGACGGUAGAAGCCAAAGAGAGUCCCGGGCCUCGCAGAGGAAAGCGCAAAGCAGCUGAAAAAGCAGCGACUAAAAUUACCGAAUUCACGGAUCUCAUCAAAGAAGACGAACCACCCACUAAAAGACAGAAACUGAAGAUCGAAGAGAUCAGUCGUUUCAUAUCCCGACCCCGAGAUACGAGGAAUCCUCCGAAUCGAUGGAGAGGCUUAUGGAAAGUGGAUUUGAGUACGAAAGGAAAAACGAAUUGUCGACAACCCGGUUGCAAUUUUGUCACUGACACGCUAAAAUCGAUGUUCGAGCACAAUUCUAAUUGUCCCCAUGUUCCACGUGUGAAUUACUCGUGCAGAAUUUGCAAAUAUUUUCACGAGAAUGAGAAGGAAGUAAUGAAACACGUAAGAUCGAAUCACGCCGAGGGUAAAACUCUUCAGGUCGAUUCCGAUUUCGAGCACAACGAUACCUCCAAUUCCAGUGAUGACGACUCUGAACCAGCAGAUGAUAAGCCACCCAAAGCCAGUUCGACCCAAAAUCGGAGUGGAUCCAAUAGACACAAGCGUCCCCUUACACACAUCAAGUUUCUAGACAAGGAGGUAUCUGUGGAUCAAAAACGAUACUUCACACCAGCCAUUCGUUGGACGAUGGAAUUCGAACGUAAAAACUACCGUUUGAAGUUGUUUGAAAAUUUAUUACCCAAUCCAAUGGAGCGCCUGAGGGAGGAAGAUGCGCAAGUAUAUUUGCCGGAACUCGAAACUUCGAUGCGAGUUGGGGAAACAGCGAAACGAGGAAAUGAAAAAUCGAUCGAGUGGACAAGAUUUCAACGAUUUCAGGGAAAAACAAACGACGGAAUUCUCACGCUCUUCGCGGGUGGUCCUGUUUGGGCGAUUGCUUGGUUGACGAUUCCAGUGACUGUGUACAAUGAAGAAGUUGAUCAAUACGUUGCUAUUAGUACACAUCCGACCAUGGAGAGUGCUUACACCGUGGGGAAAUCCCAUGCUGAGAAAAAUCUCAUUCAAAUAUGGUCCGUUGGCCACUUGGAUCAUCGAAAAGGAAUGAAACACUCGGAUCCGCGUUUCGCCUAUGGAGUAGCGCACGAUAAAGGAACGAUUUGGUGCCUCGAAUGGUGUCCUUCCGGUUGCUACGACCACCCGAGCUUUCACAACAACAAACAAGAGAAGCAACAGAGCGAGGGUCCAAAAAGGAUGGGCCUGUUAGCUGCUGCAUGCUCAGAUGGCUGCGUCCACAUAUUUUCUCUCCCUUUUCCCAGUUGCCUUAAUUCUGACAAUACCGAUGGGAUUCAGGAAGCUUCACCCAUUUACAAAACAAAGCCUGUCCUGACCCUGUUAACAAAUACCGCGAUGUACGAAAGUGGGGAACAGACGUGGCAAUGCACGAAACUCAAUUGGAGCAAAGAGCUGGGGCACGAUUGUUCAUCUCAUUCCUUAUGGGCACAAGAGAUUCUGCGUUUCUUCGAGUUACGACCGAUUCACCAAAGUUUGGGAUCUUGAAGAUACGUCUUAUCCCCUGAGCACGAUCAAAAGAGGAAUUGCCAUGGAUGGUGCUUGGUUGACCCAUUGGCCCGGAUAUCUCACCGCUUACGAUGACGUGAUUGUUCAUGGUCACACAUAUUACAUCUUAUUGAGACAAUCAGCAGUCAGGAUUUUUCCUCUCUUGCCUAGCAAUUCAGCGACUUUC
rnacentral:misc_RNA from 1 species